rnacentral:rRNA from 1 species
UACGGGGGGAGCAAGCGUUGUUCGGAUUUACUGGGCGUAAAGGGCGCGUAGGCGGUCGUGACAAGUCACUUGUGAAAUCUCCGGGCUUAACUCGGAAAGGUCAAGUGAUACUGUCGGACUAGAGUACAGAAGGGGCAACUGGAAUUCUCGGUGUAGCGGUGAAAUGCGUAGAUAUCGGAAGGAACGCCGGUGGCGAAGGCGGGUUGCUGGGCUGAUACUGACGCUGAGGCGCGAAAGCCAGGGGAGCGAACGGG